ACCUGUGAGAACUCUUUGAUCCACAAAAUC
rnacentral:piRNA from 1 species